UCGACCGACUUUGUGAGAAAUAUCAAAACUUGAGAACUCCGUGCAGUCUGAUCAUGAUCUGCACUAUUCGCCAUUCGGUAGUAUAUUUUUGUAAGCACCCCUUUUAACAGUUAAGGUACUGUCCAAUUUGAAAUUUGGACAAGUUCAUUAUAGAAAUUUAGCAGGGUAAGGGUUAAACCAAAUUACUGUAAAAGCUCAAUUACGUUAUAUACUUCUUAGAUUUUGUAGGAGGAUUUUCCGCCAAAAGUAAAUAGAACAAAAUAAACAGUCUUAGUUAGAUAAGUGACAAGCAUCAGAGUUAUUUCUCAUUUCAUUCAUACUUACAAUUCAUAGGCAAAAAAUCGUCACAAAUUAGUAAAGGAAUACAAAAGGACAAUAAGUCUAGCAAAGAGUUAUGGGUUUUAACGCACUUACCGAUGUAAUGGUGAUAAACAACUGUCCAAAGAUUCAUUUAAUAGCUUUGAUAAUGCAUGCCAUAUGUAACAUGUACAGACAAGUAUUUUACAAAAUGCAUACAAAAAUUUACAGCGACUUAAAAAAACUUGAAAAAGUGCUUGCGGAAUAACUCAUUUUGCAAAAGUAUUGUACAGGUUGUAAGCGGAGUUUCCGUCGAACGGAAAAAACAACAACAUAUGCACUCUUAAUUAAACGAAUGAGAAAGACAAGUUCUAUACGUUUGUUUUAUAACGUAUUUCCAAAGGAGAAACAUAUUUAUGUUGAAGGCUUUUGUUUGGCCAGUCUGAAAUGAAAAUGAUUUAUGAAAAUGUAUGAAAAUGGAUUUAUUUCGGAAUAUGCAUGCUAUUGUGUAGUGGUGCAGAGGAACCUAGUUGCACAUUACAUUUUGAUUACGAAUACAGGACGGUUCGAAAACUAUAUGAGUUAGAGCAGAGAAUAGAGCAGUUGUCACAUAAAGAUCAUACCUUUGCAGAUCAAGAUCGUAAUUAAUGCAGAUUCAGUUGGCAGUAAUUCUGACGCUAUUUAAUCUAAAAAACAUGAAAUAACAACUUAGUCAAAGAUAAGAUCCCUCAUUUAGAAGUCUUUUGAAUGCUAGGACUGGUGCUCAAACAGAAAUAAGUCAAGAUAUAUAACAUAAAGCAAAGG